AGUGAACGCUGGCGGUAGGCCUAACACAUGCAAGUCGAACGGCAGCACAGUAAGAGCUUGCUCUUACGGGUGGCGAGUGGCGGACGGGUGAGGAAUACAUCCGAAUCUACUUUUUCGUGGGGGAUAAGGUAGGGAAACUUACGCUAAUACCUCAUACGACCUACGGGUAAAAGCAGGGGAUCUUCGGACCUUGCGCGAUUGAAUGAGCCGAUGGCGGUUUAGCUAGUUGGCGGGUUAAAGGCCCACCAAGGCGACGAUCCGUAGCUGGUCUGAGAGGAGGGUCAGCGACACUGGAACUGAGGCACGGGCCAGACUCCAGCGGGAGGCAGGAGUGGGGAGUAUUGAACAAUGGGCGCAAGGCUGAAGCAGCCAGAACGCGUGGGUGAAGAAGGCCUUCGGGUUGUAAAGCCCUUUUGUUGGGAGAGAAAAGCAGCAGGUUAAUACCCCGCUGUUCUGGCGGUACCCAAAAAGUAAGCACCGGCUAACAUCGU
rnacentral:rRNA from 1 species